rnacentral:rRNA from 1 species
AGAUUGAACGCUGGCGGCAGGCCUAACACAUGCAAGUCGAGCGGUAGAGAGGUGCUUGCAUCUCUUGAGAGCGGCGGACGGGUGAGUAAUGCCUAGGAAUCUGCCUAGUGGUGGGGGAUAACGUUCGGAAACGGACGCUAAUACCGCAUACGUCCUACGGGAGAAAGCGGGGGACCUUCGGGCCUCGCGCCAUUAGAUGAGCCUAGGUCGGAUUAGCUAGUUGGUGA